rnacentral:rRNA from 1 species
AUCGGAACAUGUCCAGUAGUGGGGGAUAGCCCGGCGAAAGCCGGAUUAAUACCGCAUACGAUCUAUGGAUGAAAGCGGGGGAUCGCAAGACCUCGCGCUAUUGGGGUGGCCGAUGGCGGAUUAGCUAGUUGGUGGGGUAAAGGCCUACCAAGGCGACGAUCCGUAGCUGGUCUGAGAGGACGACCAGCCACACUGGGACUGAGACACGGCCCAGACUCCUACGGGAGGCAGCAGUGGGGAAUUUUGGACAAUGGGCGAAAGCCUGAUCCAGCAAUGCCGCGUGUGUGAAGAAGGCCUUCGGGUUGUAAAGCACUUUUGUCCGGAAAGAAAUCCUGGUGGCUAAUAUCCGCCGGGGAUGACGGUACCGGAAGAAUAAGCACCGGCUAACUACGUGCCAGCAGCCGCGGUAAUACGUAGGGUGCGAGCGUUAAUCGGAAUUACUGGGCGUAAAGCGUGCGCAGGCGGUGAUGUAAGACCGAUGUGAAAUCCCCGGGCUUAACCUGGGAACUGCAUUGGUGACUGCAUCGCUGGAGUAUGGCAG